rnacentral:piRNA from 1 species
UAAAAUAUAGUAAAUGUAUGGGGUAAAAAA